AACGAACGCUGGCGGCGUGCCUAAUACAUGCAAGUAGAACGCAGUUGCGAACGGGUGAGUCAAGCGUAGGUAAAUGCCUCAUAGCGGGGGAUAACUAUUGGAAAAGAUAGCUAAUACCGCAUACUGUGAGAUGGACCUGCGUUGUCUUAGGUAGUUGGUGAGGUAAAGGCGAACCAAGGCGACGAUACAGAGCCGAUCUGAGAGGUUGAUCGGCCAACCUGUCACUUGGACACGGCCCAUGUGCCUACGGGAUGCAGCAGUAGGGAUGCUUCGGCAAUGGACGGAAGUCUGACCGCGCAACGCCGCGUGAGUGAAGAAGGUUUGAGGAGCGUAAAGCUCUGUUGUUAGAUAAGCGGUAACUAACCAGAAAGGGACGGCUAACUACGUGCCAGCAGCCGCGGUAAUAC
rnacentral:rRNA from 1 species